GAUGAAGAACGUAGCGAAAUGCGAUAACUAAUGUGAAUUGCAGAAUUCAGUGAAUCAUCGAGUCUUUGAACGCACAUUGCGCCCCCUGGUAUUCCGGGGGGCAUGCCUGUCCGAGCGUCAUUGCUGCCCUCAAGCACGGCUUGUGUGUUGGGCUCCGUCACCCCGGGGACGGGCCCGAAAGGCAGCGGCGGCACCGAGUCCGGUCCUCGAGCGUAUGGGGCUUUGUCACCCGCUCUGUAGGCCCGGCCGGCGCCAGCCGACAACCCAUCAUCCUUUUCAGGUUGACCUCGGAUCAGGUAGGGAUACCCGCUGAACUUAAGCAUAUCAAUAAGCGGAGGA
rnacentral:misc_RNA from 1 species